AGCGAACGCUGGCGGCAGGCUUAACACAUGCAAGUCGAGCGGGCAUCCUUGUGGUGUCAGCGGCAGACGGGUGAGUAACGCGUGGGAACGUGCCCUUCGGUUCAGAAUAACUCAGGGAAACUUGAGCUAAUACCGGAUACGUGCGAGAGCAGAAAGGUUUAUCUGCCGAAGGAUCGGCCCGCGUCUGAUUAGCUAGUUGGUGAGGUUAUGGCUCACCAAGGCGACGAUCAGUAGCUGAUCUGAGAGGAUGAUCAGCCACACUGGGACUGAGACACGGCCCAGACUCCUACGGGAGGCAGCAGUGGGGAAUAUUGGACAAUGGGGGCAACCCUGAUCCAGCCAUGCCGCGUGAGUGAUGACGGCCUUAGGGUUGUAAAGCUCUUUUCUUCGGGACGAUAAUGACGGUACCGGAGGAAUAAGCCCCGGCUAACUUCGUG
rnacentral:rRNA from 1 species